CCAAUAGCGUAUAUUAAAGUUGUUGCAGUUAAAAAGCUCGUAGUUGAAUUUCGGGAUCAGUACGCUGGUCGUGCCUUCGGUAUGAACUGGUGUCACUGGUUCCUCCCUUCUGAAGAACCGUCAUGCCAUUCAGUUGGUGUGGCGGGAAAUCAGGACUGUUACUUUGAAAAAAUUAGAGUGUUUAAAGCAGGCUCGCGCUUGAAUACAUUAGCAUGGAAUAAUGAAAUAGGACGUUUGACCCUAUUUUGUUGGUUUCUAGGAUCGACGUAAUGAUUAAUAGGGAUAGUUGGGGGCAUUAGUAUUCAAUUGUCAGAGGUGAAAUUCUUGGAUUUAUUGAAGACUAACUACUGCGAAAGCAUUUGCCAAGGAUGUUUUCAUUAAUCAAGAACGAAAGUUAGGGGAUCGAAGACGAUCAGAUACCGUCGUAGUCUUAACCAUAAACUAUGCCGACUAGGGAUCGGAUGAUGUUAAUUUUUUAAUGACUCAUUCGGCGCCUUACG
rnacentral:rRNA from 1 species